rnacentral:misc_RNA from 1 species
GGAGAGUUGGAGACAGAAAAGGAAUUGGGUUUCGAAGAAGCUCAUCGAAUAGGAUGGCGAGGAGCUUGGCUUUGCGUAUAAUGGAAAGAGAAUUGCGUUUUAGAAGGAAUGGUAUAGGCUUGAAAGAAGAGAUUUCUUGGGAUAGAAUAAGGAGAGAUUGGACGAGUUUAAGGUCGGACAAGUUAGGAGCAAUAAACGCCCCGGCUGGUGGCCGGCGCUUUCUUGGCGGGAAAAUUUGAGGAGACACCGUCAUGAAUCAAUAAUAAGCCAAAUAAUUUCAGAAAUGAAACAAGAAAAAUGGGUUUUUUUUUUUU